ensembl:lincRNA
AACCCUUUGAACAGCCUCAAAUGAGAGCUUCCAGAAAGUUCCCCAGAGAAGCCAAGUGCACUGAUUACAUCUUGGACGAGACAGAAAUUCAGUUUCCCUCAUGCUAACUCUGUACUAGCACUUUUGCGAAUGCACCGGAAAUAUGCCGUGUAGUUUUCAUCUCAUGACUUAUUAAUGUCCAUCAUCUUCAAAGAUGCUGGCACUUUCACUGUUCCCUGUGCCCAGUUUCUACCAGCCUCGGGAGUUUUGCCCAACUUGUUUCUACACACCCAUCUCAUUGCGUUGCCUCUCUUGCUGUAUGUGAUCGCCCUGAGAAGUGAUUCUGCACCAAACGCUGGCUUGGUUGGGUGCUAAAAAUCUGAACAUACAGGAGAAAGGACCCCAGGCCCAGGAGGUGCACCUCCCACCCAAGAAGGUGGACAGGACUGCUGGCUCCCUCCUCUCCUUUCCAGCACAGGUGGUCUCCCGGUCUGCCCAGGAGGAGCCUUAUCCAGACUACAUUUCCCAGACUCCCGCAUGGCUGGUUCUCCGGAACAGUGUUCUCUCUCUCUCGCUUUCCUGGCUAUGUGAGGACACAGCAAAAUCUGCAAGCCAAGCCAGAGGGCUCUCCUCAACACCAGACACCAAAUCUGCUGACCUUGAUCUUGGACUUCAAGCCUCUAAAACUAUGAGAAACAAAUGUCUGUUGUUUAAGCCUCCCCUCACCCCUGCCCAGACUGUGGUAUUUUGUCACAGCAGCCCAGGUGACUAAGAACUGUACUCACUCCACACAUAUACCAGAGCUUCUCCUUUGGAGAAACUUUGGAGUGGAUCCCUGUCCAGGAGAAUCUGUUCUCCCAGAGAGUGCCCUGGGUCCCAGGUCCCAGGCUACAACGGGCGGCCUGCCUGAGUGAACCACUUCCUGGGACCCCCUGAGCACGGAGCAGCCUGGUGCAGUUCAGGACCACAGGAUCCACCUUCUGGAAAUUGCUUUUUACCAGGAAAGUGAGUGUCAAUUAUGCAUUUCCCAAGUAGACAAACUUCUGGUAACCUAAAUUAGCCUUUGACCUCCUGAUCAUAGGAAACAUUUCUACACAGAGACAUUGAGAAAUGGCUGAGUUCACUGACUCCCUGCAACUUUACUGCAGGGAAUAGGAAGGGCAGAAAAUGCAGAGUCCAAUCUCACUGGCUCUGUUGAUGGGUGGGUCCAUGUUCCUCUGACUCUUGGUUCUAUGGAGACUGAGGUAUGUUGACAGCCUCAACUGAAGGCAUUCAUAUGGCAAGAAAAAUACGACUGAGAUCAGCACAUCUCAAAACGUCACUUUGCAAUUAGCCGCCUAUAAAAAUAAGGAUCACACCUAUAGACUUAAGCUUGGCUGAGAAAAACAAACUCAUUUUGUAUAAAAGAAAUUACUCCAUCUUGAAACGCCUGGCAUAGACCUGAUAGGUGGUGGCUUGUUUUUUUCCUCCUUCUCCCAAAUCAUAUUAAUGACAAUUUGACAUGGCCAAGUAGUUCCUCCCUGGAAUAUGGAUGCCAUCAGGCUCUUAAGAUGAGCUCAUUUCUCAUAAUGACACACACAUAACUUCAGUCUCAGGUUUUAAUUAGAGAAGAAGGGAUCACAAAUUCCCAUCUGGCACCACAACUGCCUGACCAAAGAUAAUUACCAAUUGAGUGGCCUGAACUUGGGUAGAAAGAUAAGUCCAGAAGGAUCUAGGCAUGCGGGAGACGAGUCAAGUCCAAAGACCACAAAGGAUUUUAUUUUGGAGAAAUACUUAGAACUAGAAGAUACAGAAAAGGGUUGGUAACCAGAUGGAGGACAGUAGUAAAGUGUUGACAGGAAACAGAAGACACACUUCAAUGCCUACUGCACUCCCACCUCAUUCAUUCACUCACUCACUCACUCAUUCAUUCAUUUAGUAAAUGCUUAUUAAGUACCUCCUAUGUGCCCAGCACUAUGCUUGUCCUACAGGGGCAGAGAUGGACAUCAGUCAAUCCUUGUGUUUAACAAACUGUAGUUUAGUCCACAGAGAGAGAGAUAAUUAGCAAAUAAUCACAUGAUCCUAUUGUGCAGAAUAAUUACAUAGUGCUUCUAAGUGGGUUGGUAAAUGAUGGCCAGCCAUCUACUACUUGUUUCUAUAAAUAAAGUUUUAUUGGAACUAAGCCCCCCUACUCAUUUACACAUUCUCUAUGGUAGCCUUGCCUUACAACAGCAGAGUUGAGCAGAUGCCUGUAUGGCCUACACGGUUUAACAUUGACUAUUGGGUUUUUUCCUGAAAACAUCUACUGACUCUCUAAGUCUGGUCUAAGAGAAUAGUAUGGGGCCCUAACUUAGACUGGGGUUUAGGGAAGCUUCCUAGAAGAAGAGGCAUUUCAGAGACAGCUGAGAGACAAGGAAGAAUGAGCCAGUUGAGAAAACGCCAACGGGUCACAGCAGAGGGCUGGGGAGCAGGGCUGGGCUGACAGCCACUGGGCAGGACAAAUCCCUGUCCCCCAACCCCAGUGCAGUACCACCUUCGCAAUGUCCCUACCUGGAGGGAAGUGAAACACAAGAUGGUCCUUUAAACAAAAUCAUUUUAUCUCUUCAAUUAAUUAUUGACCUGCAAAAGAAAGUUGCCCCUGGCUGGUCGAUUAUCAACCUGAUCUAUGAUUUCAUACUUUAAAUCUAUAUUGAGAAAUACUGGAGAAUAAGAAAAGUCCGGAUUCUCAAAAAGAGAAGGAUCA